rnacentral:tRNA from 1 species
GCGCGCAUAGCUCAGUUGGUACGAGCAACGCUUUUACACAGCGAAGGUCCCAGGUUCGAGCCCUGGUGCGCGCA